AGGUGUCUGCCAUCAGAUCCCUCACUACGGACCGUAUGCUGACAGACUUCCCUGGGCCUGCUACCUGAGACCUGCUGCUUCCUCCCAGACUCACUCUGCAGCUUCUUCCUGGACCUACCUGGUACCUGCACCCUCUCGUUGCCCAAGACCGGCCACGCUGCUGCUGCUCUUCCCCUGUACUUUUGCCCCAGACCGUCGGAACGUCGUGCAACGGGACUACUGCUGGAUCCUGGUGCUUUAUCUGGAUACCAGGGAGAGAGAAAAAGAAGAGAACAGUUUACAAAGUCAUGACCUAAAACAUCAUGGUCCCAGAAGAAAUCUGAACAGCAGGUCAAAAAGCCUAUAUCAGAGGAGAGACAACAGUAAUGGAGCCCUGCUCCAGCACAGCCUGUGAAUGUCACAACCUUGCUCCAGGAAAAGCCUUACAGCUCAGUCAGACAAAGGCACGUGACAACUUGCCCUCAUGAAUAGCCGUAACAGCUUGCUGCCAACUUCAAGGAUGACAUAACUGGCCAGAAGAAAGAUUUGGAUAAGUCAUUCUGUUUACAGCAUGUCUGAAGUCUUACUGUUCUCUGGUUCACGAUAUGCCACUCUCAAAACUGUAAGUUUGUCUGUGGUGGAAAUAAUGCAGUACUGCGCACAUGAGAGCAGACUAUGAGAAAAAUAAUUCAUGUCUUAGACAACUUAAAUGAGAAGCUAAACAGAAUUUCACAUUGGCCUAAAUUGAUAUGAAAAUAUAUGCUAGACUUGUGCUAAUUCUUGCUAAUGGAAAGUUCCUCAGAGGAAAUGGUGACUGGGGAAUGGUUUGGACUGGGGAAUGUCGUCUGCUCACGUAUGCAUGUACAAGAACUCACCACAAAAAAGCUCACUAACAGCCUACUUAUGAAAGGUAGAAGAUGUGGCCUCACAGCCCAGAAAGCCAACCAUAUCCUGGGCUGCAUCAAAAGAAGUGUGGCCGGUAGGUCGAGGGAAGUGAUCCUGCCCCUCUGUCCCUGGAGACUUUCAAGGCAAGGCUGGAUCACAUUCUGGGCAACCUGAUCUAGCUGUGCAUAUCCCUGUUCAUUGCAGGGGAUUUGGACUAGAUAACCUUUAAAGGUCCCUUCCAACUCUUAAGGAUUCUAUGCUUCUAAGAUCCCUGACAGAUGUGUAUAGUUGCACCUAAUCUUACCAUAUUGCUAGCAUGACAGCAUACAAAGAAAAGCUCAAACUGACAUGUGGUUAUAAGCCUAGAUACUACUUUGUUAUGCAUAGCCAAAGUACAAUAAUAUUUAAAAAAAAUACUGUUAUGUAUCCCCAGAUUAUAAAGUACUGCAGAAAAAACCUACUGAGAUUGCAGCAGAUAAAUAAAGCAUAACAUAAACAGCAGCUCAGGAGGAGAAAGAUUACAGGAAGAUGAUUCUAUGCAAGUAACUAAUGGAUUUUCUAUUAUGAUAAUUCAACAACUUCAGGAGAUGAAUAAUUAGAGUUAGAUAAGCACAAGAAACGCUACACAGCAAAUAAAUUAGUGUUUUAACAAAUAUUUCACUACGUUUGUCAGAUUUUCACUUAGAAGUUGAUACACAGAAAAAGAACAGUUGUCUGAAGUGUAGCAUUUGAGUGCUCAUCGAACAUUCACACUGAAUGUUGUGGUUUAACCUGGCAGGCAGCUAAGGAUUACCCAGCUGUUUACUUAUUUCCUCCCCAGAUGGGAUGAAGGAGAGAACUAGAUUCUAGGUUCUAGGCUUCUAGGUUGAGAUAAAAACUAUUUACUAAUGCAAAAGAAAAAAAAAAACAAAUAGUAACUGUACACAAGAGUAUGUAUAUAUAUACACAUAACUGUAACAUAGCUAUCACUCACCACCCAGUAACUCCAGAGCAACAGCUGCUGUCAGCCAACUCUCCACACCUGUAUGGUCUUCUGCAUGAUGUCACGUGAUAUGGAAUAAUCUCAAGCCUAAUUCAUGUGCCUGUUCUGCCUCAAGUCCUGUUGCUGUGCCAUAAAGACAUCAGCUCUUCCUUGCUAAGUGACCUGACCUGGCUGUGCUUUUAUUACUCAACAACAACCAAAACAUUGGUUAUAUUAUUAAUGUUGCCUUAGCUGAAGUCUGGACACUGUGUAACAAAAUCUGUAAAUAAAAUCAGCUUUUUAGUAAUAGAGUUUCUUUUCACUUUAUGUAUCUAGAUAAUAUUAAAAAAAAAAAAAAAAAAGCUUUUAUUUC
ensembl:lncRNA